AAACGAUGGUAGCUUGCUACCAGGCGUCGAGCGGCGGACGGGUGAGUAACGCGUGAGAAUCUGCCCAUUUGUGGGGGAUAACUCGGGGAAACUCGAGCUAAUACCGCAUAAUCCCUACGGGGGAAAGCAGGGGACCUUCGGGCCUUGUGCAGAUGGAUGAGCUCGCGUCGGAUUAGCUUGUUGGUGAGGUAAAGGCUCACCAAGGCGACGAUCCGUAGCUGGUCUGAGAGGAUGAUCAGCCACACCGGGACUGAGACACGGCCCGGACUCCUACGGGAGGCAGCAGUGGGGAAUCUUAGACAAUGGGCGCAAGCCUGAUCUAGCCAUGCCGCGUGAGUGAUGAAGGCCUUAGGGUCGUAAAACUCUUUCGCCAGGGAUGAUAAUGACAGUACCUGGUAAAGAAGCCCCGGCUAACUCCGUGCCAGCAGCCGCGGUAAUACGGAGGGGGCUAGCGUUGUUCGGAAUUACUGGGCGUAAAGCGCGCGUAGGCGGACUAUUAAGUCAGGGGUGAAAUCCCGGGGCUCAACCCCGGAACUGCCCUUGAUACUGGUAGUCUUGAGUUCGAGAGAGGUGAGUGGAAUUCCGAGUAUAGAGGUGAAAUUCGUAGAUAUUCGGAGGAACACCAGUGGCGAAGGCGGCUCACUGGCUCGAUACUGACGCUGAG
rnacentral:rRNA from 1 species